UACGAAGGGGGCUAGCGUUGCUCGGAUUGACUGGGCGUAAAGGGCGCGUAGGCGGUUCGUACAGUCAGACGUGAAAUUCCUGGGCUCAACCUGGGGGCUGCGUUUGAUACGUGCGGACUUGAGUGCGGAAGAGGGUCGUGGAAUUCCCAGUGUAGAGGUGAAAUUCGUAGAUAUUGGGAAGAACACCGGUGGCGAAGGCGGCCCCCUGGCUCGUACCUGACGCUCAGCCACGAAAGCAUGGGGAGCGAACGGG
rnacentral:rRNA from 1 species